rnacentral:lncRNA from 1 species
UCACUAACAUGGCUUCCUCAAGUUUCCUAGUGUUGUUCCUUUUUGCUCUUUUUGCCAUCCCUCAAGGGCUUGCAAAUUAUGAAAACCCUCCUGUAUACACGCCACCCAUUGUGAAACCCCCAGUUUAUAAGCCACCGGUUGAGAAACCACCUGUAUACAAGCCCCCAGUGGAGAAACCUCCAGUUUACAAACCCCCUGUAGAGAAGCCACCAGUGUACAAACCACCGGUGGAGAAACCUCCAGUUUACAAGCCAC